rnacentral:rRNA from 1 species
UCUAGAGCUAAUACAUGCACUUGUGCGUCAGGGGGGCGACUUCCUGGCGUUGGCAUUUAUUGGAUAGUUACCAACCGCAAUUUGCGUGGUGAAUCUAGAUAACUUUGCAGAUCGUAUGGCCUAGAGCCGGCGACGUUUCGACUGAAUUUCUGCCCUAUCAACUUUUGUCGGUAGUGUAGUGGACUACCGAGGUUUUUACGGGUGACGGGGAAUCAGGGUUCGAUUCCGGAGAGGGAGCCUGAGAAACGGCUACCACAUCCAAGGAAGGCAGCAGGCGCGCAAAUUACCCAAUCCAGACAAUGGGAGGUGGUGACGAGAAGUACCGGAUGACGGCCAAUGGUUGUCAAUCUGGAAUGGAAUCAAUUUAAGCAAUUGGUUGAGAAACUACUGGAGGGCAAGUCUGGUGCCAGCAGCCGCGGUAAUUCCAGCUCCAGUAGCGUACCUCAAAGUUGCUGCGCUUAAAACGCUCGUAGUUGGAUCACAGACUGUCCGCUGGUGGGUGUUUGCUCGGGUUCCAAGGUUGGGGACGUGUCGGUGUGUCAUCAUGCCGAUAUGGACCUACGUGGGGUCGAGUGGGCACCGUAAGCCGGUGGAUAGUAAUUGCACGUGAGGAUGUGCGUCGGCCUUGAGUGUGCUGACGUGUGUGUCUCACGGAGUGUGCCUUGAGUAAAUCAGAGUGCUUAAAGCAGGCUUUACGCUUGAAUGUUUUAGCAUGGAACGAACAAUAGUGUAUGGUGUAUGCUGGAUAUCGUGGGGGGUGCCUCGGUGCCCCGUGCGUCAGUGUACGACACCGACCUUCAAUUACGGAUGUUGGUACCGUAUUGGGGUACUGAUUAAGAGGAGCGGUUGGGGGCAUUGGUAUU